UGGGGGAAACCCUGACGCAGCAACGCCGCGUGGAGGACGAAGGUUUUCGGAUUGUAAACUCCUGUCCUCUGGGACGAUAAUGACGGUACCAGAGGAGGAAGCCACGGCUAACUACGUGCCAGCAGCCGCGGUAAUACGUAGGUGGCAAGCGUUGUCCGGAAUUACUGGGCGUAGAGGGCGUGUAGGCGGUACCCUAAGUCAGAUGUGAAAACCCGGAGCUUAACUUCGGAACUGCAUUUGAAACUGGGGAACUCGAGUGUCGGAGAGGAAAGCGGAAUUCCUAGUGUAGCGGUGAAAUGCGUAGAUAUUAGGAGGAACACCAGUGGCGAAGGCGGCUUUCUGGACGAUAACUGACGCUGAGGCGCGAAAGCGUGGGGAGCAAACAGGAUUAGAUACCCUGGUAGUCCACGCUGUAAACGAUGGAUACUAGGUGUGGGAGGUAUCGAACCCUUCCGUGCCGCAGUAAACGCAAUAAGUAUCCCGCCUGGGGAGUAC
rnacentral:rRNA from 1 species